UACGUAGGGUGCAAGCGUUGUCCGGAAUUAUUGGGCGUAAAGAGCUCGUAGGCGGUUUGUCGCGUCGAAUGUGAAAACCCGGGGCUCAACUCCGGGCCUGCAUUCGAUACGGGCAGACUAGAGCUCGGUAGGGGAGACUGGAAUUCCUGGUGUAGCGGUGAAAUGCGCAGAUAUCAGGAGGAACACCGGUGGCGAAGGCGGGUCUCUGGGCCGGAUACUGACGCUGAGGAGCGAAAGCGUGGGGAGCGAACAGG
rnacentral:rRNA from 1 species